AUGUGAUAUUAAAAUUGUGAUAUGUUUGAACUUUGUUAUGUUGAGCUUGUGUCAAAUAUUAUUUUAUAAUAACUUAGUGUGUAAUAAAUAUCACUUGAUAUCAUCAUUAUCAUCCAAAUUAUACAAAAUUAAUAGAAAGAAAUCACAUAAGUCUCCCUUCUUUUUUUUUACACCAAUGAAUAAGUCUCCCUUUUAAGUUGCACAACCUUUGUCUUAAUAAAUGAUCUACAAUGAAGACAAUACUUAUAGCUAGUUACUAGAUGUUGAAACAAUGAACAAAACAUUUAGACAAAGAACUAGAUGUUGAAACAAUGAACAAAACUUAUGUAACUAAGUUUUGAUAAGGGAUCACGUGGAGCUACAUUUUUGGUACAACAGUCGACCUGAAAUGGUCGAUCUUCCUCUCGUUGAACCCCAUAUC
rnacentral:lncRNA from 1 species